CAACCUUGGGCAAGUUAACAUCUGUGGAUCUCAGUGCACGUAUCUGUGGAAUGGGAUAAUAGCCUUUCAACAAGCCCAGAAGCUCCUGAGGAGGGAGAGCCAAGUGCUGGUCGGACCAGUGCCAGGACAAGAGUCAGGGAUGCUGGGACUCACCACGUCCUCCACCCUCCUUGCCAAUCGCAGGACACUGAGCCUUCCUUUGGAAGAGGGAACACCCUGAGUCUCAAAUUCUAAGGGUGGCAAAGAUUGUGAGAUCCUUCCAGAUCGGAAAUAUCAUGCUGCAUAUUGGAAGGUUUCCAACACACGGCCUCUGGCUUGGAUUUAUUUUUAUUACCAUCAGAUGCUUCUACCAGCCUGUAUACGUUCAGGUCUGACGUCUCGCCUGUAGCAGAUGCCCCUGGAGCCCGCCACCCCACCCCCGCCAUCUCCUUGGACCAUCCGUUGUAGUGGACAGCCCUGACUUCCAACCACUGAGCACUUUUUCUGCGGGCCAGAGCGUUACUGCCCGCCCCCAGCCAGUGAGUGACAGGAGAUGGUAGAUGAUGCCCAUCUUACCCCUUGUGGGGAUAAUGGAGUGAGUGUCCUACACUGUCUCCCACACCCUGCAGGCAGGAUUAAGCUCUGAUUGCCUGCAGUGGUAAGUGACUUAAUAACAACCCCAUUGCCGGCAUUCUCCCCAUCCCCGUCGCAAUUCCCCACUCCCCACUUUGUUUCCUGAGAGAAUCUCUGAGAUGAGGAUUUGAGAGCAAAGACUGUCUUUUGUUGGGUUCUCCCAGAGCAAACCCUCAGAUGCUGUUCAUUCUGAGGCAGCUCAGGGUAGCCCCGAAGUAGGAAGUUACGAUGAGAGAGUGCGGGAUCACAGGGAGAAGGAAGCCUCAA